rnacentral:sRNA from 1 species
UCCUAGCCCUGAUGGCAGCCGUAUCCUUUUUAUCUGCUCUGACAGAACAAGAGAUACAGUGGACAGUGGAAGUGUCU